rnacentral:lncRNA from 10 species
CGCAUGCUCCCGGCACGCUCCACGCGCUCCUCCCAUCCAGGCCGCGCCUGCGCUGUAUGCCGUGUGGCCGCUACCUCGCAGGCUCUCCCGGUCCCUGCUGGCGCGGCAGUGCCGCGCGGUGGGUGAUGGGAGAGCGCGCCCAUUCCCACGCCGCGCCAAGUGCCACGGGAUCAGGCCGAGGCUGGACCCGGAGACGACAGCGAGGGCAGGCUACCAAGCCCUCCCCACAGGGCCGUGCCCAGCCCAAGCCUGCCGAGUCAGCACCCAGAUCCUGGGACAAGAUAGGUGAGGAUGAAGUGGUGGUGCUCUUCUCACUUGCACAAGCCGUCCCACGCCACCUCUCCUCGGCUUCACGGUGCCUAGAGAAGAGGUGGGAGAGGGUGCAGGCGCCCCAGCUCAGGAUCUGAUGCCUGUGGGCCAAGGACCUGGAUGCAAGCCAGGAGUCCUUGGGGCCACGGGCAGGCAGCCGGAUUCACCGGAAAGUGACGCUUCUCAAGGGGAACACACACGUAACACACCAGCUCCCUUUCUGCCCUGGUCCAGUGACUCCUUUCAUGAAAGCUCUCUGAAAUGUUAUCUGCAUUUACACCCAAACUCACUCACUUUGAUCCCUGAAACGCGAAUCAAAGGUCACAUUGUACCUUCCCUGGGUCUGUGGGGCUUUCAGCAGCCUGGGCCAAAAAUAAUAAAAGUGGCACCGAGCCAGGAAACGCCUCCUUGAAGUGGGAAUGAAAUUUGGAUUUUUUUCGGUUGUAUCUUUCCUAAUUGACCUGAUAAUUUAAACUUCCUCCCUCAAGGGAAAGGUGGGGGUUCCCACAAAUUCAGCUUACCUCAGCCUCAAGGCAGCUCAGUCUACAGCUCAGCGCCCAUCAGCAGAGUGGGCAGUGGGCCUGUGGAAGAAAUGAAUCCAACUGAGCCAGAAAAGGCCUUUUUUGGUCCAAAUUUUUUUUUUCUUUCAGGCCCUCUCCUGUGUAUAACUGUCAUGCACCGCAUAACAACGUUUUGGUCAACUAGGGACCACAUAUGUAACUGGUCAUCCAGUAAGCUAUAGUUAUUUUAUUAUUGAAGAAAGAAAAUUUUUAGGCCAGGCGCUGUGGAGGCUCAUGCUUGUAAUCCCAGCAUUUUGGGAGCCCAAGGCGGGCAGCUCAUUUGAGGUCAGGAGUUUGAGACCAGCCUGGUCAACAUGGUGAAACCCUGUCUCUACCAAAAAUACAAAAAAUUAGCCGGGCGUGGUGGUAUGUGCCUGUAAUCCCAGCUACUUGGGAGGCUGAGGCAGGAGAAUCGCUUGAACCCAGGAGGCGGAGGUUGCAGUGAGCUGAGAUUGUGCUACUGCACUCCAGCCUGGGCAAUAGAGUGAGACUCCAUCUCAAAAAAAAAGGAAAAUGUUUAAUAUAAGUGUGUUGCAGCCUAAGUGUACAGUGUUUAUAAAGUCUAAAGUAGUGUACAAUAAUGUCUUAGGCCUUCACAUUCACUCACCACUCACACCCACAGCAACUUCCAGUCCUGCACCUCUGUUCAUGGCAAGUGCCCUAACCAGUUCUAUUUUUUAUUUUUUGCACUGUACUUUUACUGUACCUUUGCUAUGAUUAGGUGCACUAAUACCACUGUGUCACAAUUGCCUACAUUGUUCAGUAGAGUCACUGUGCAAGUUUGUAGCCCAGGAGCAACAGGCCUUACCAUACAGCCUAGGUGUGUAGUAGGCUCUACCAUCUUAGUUUGUGUAAGUUACUCUAUGAGGAUCCCUCCAUGACAAAAUCGCCUAGUGACACAUUUCUCAGAGUGUAUCCCCACAGUUAAGUGACAUAUGACUGUUUUUUUAUUGUGGUAAAAUAUAGUAACAUUUACCAUUUUAGCCAUUUUUAGGUAUACAGUUCAGGAGCAUUAAGUACAUUCAUGCUGUUGUAUAUCCAGUGAUCACUAUUUAUUUCUAGAACUUUUUCUUCACUCCAGAACAUUAACUCCUCUUCCCCUCCCACUCGCAACCCCUGGUAACCAUCAUUCUAUAUUCUGUCUCUGUGAAUUUAAUUACUCUAGGUACCUCAUAUAAGUGGAAUCAUACAGUAUUUAUCAUUUUGUGACUGGAUUAUUUCACUCAACAUGUUUUCAAGGUUCAUCCACAUCGUAGCAUGUGUCAGAACUUCCUUCAUUUUUAAGGCUGUGUAAUAUUCCUUUGUACACAUUGACCAGAUUUUGUUUAUUCAUUUGUUGAUUGACACUUGGGUUGUUUUCACCUUUUGGCUAUUGUGAAUAAUGCUGCUAUGAACAUUAGUGUACAAGUAUAUGUUUGAGUCCCUGCUUUCAGUACAUAAGAGUGAAAUUGCUGAAUGAUACGGUAAUAUUUUGUUUGACUUUUUGAGAGAUUGCCAAACUUUUCCAUAGCAAGUGAACCAUUUUACAUUCCCACCAACAGUGCACAGGAGUUCCAACUUCUCCACAUCCUCACCAACACUUGGUUACCUUCUCUUUUGUUUUUUUCCAAUAGCCAUCCUAACGGUAUGAAGUGGUGUCCCAUUGUGAUUUUAAUUUGCAUUUCUCUAAUGACUAGUGAGAUUGAGCAUCUUUUCCUGUUAUUGGCCAUUUGUAUAUCUUCACUGGAGAAAUGGCUAUUCAAGUCCUAUGCCCAUUUUUCACUGGAUUUUUGUUUUUAUUGUUGAGUUGUAAGAUUUUUCUAGAUAUUCUGGAUAUUAAUCCCUUGUCAGAUAUAUCAUUUGCAAGUAUUUCUCCAUAGGCUGCCUUUUCACUCUGUUGAUAGUGUCUUUUGAUACACAGAAGUUUUUCAUUUUCAUUAAAAUGUCAUUAACUUAAUUUCACUAAAUUAAUUUCAUUAAUUUCCAAGUCUAAUUUGUCUAUAUGUUGGUGGUAGUGGUGGUGUUAUAUCUAAAUCAUUGCCAAAUCCAGUGCUAUGAAGUUUUGCCCUAUGUUUUCUGCUAAGUUUUAUAGGUUUAGGUCUUUAUAUUUAGGACUUUGACCCAUUUUGAGUUCAUUUUUACAUACGGUGUUAGGUAGGGAUCCAGCUUCAUUCUUUUGCAUUUGAAUAUCCAGAUGUCCCAGCAUGAUUUGUUGAAGACUAUCCUUUCCCUAUCUUAGUACCCUUGUUGAAAAUCAUUUGACCAUAUAUGCAAGGGUUUAUUUCCAGGCUCUCUAGUCUGUUCCAUUGGUCUGUAUGUCUGUCUUUCUUUUUUCAGGAAAGUACAGUGUUCAAACUACACAGUCUUGAUUACUGUGGCUUUGUUUUAAAUUUUGAAAUCAGGAAGUGAGAAGCCUCUAAGUUUGUUCUUUUUCAAGAUGGUUUUGGCUAUUAGGAGUUCCUACAGAUUCCAUAUGAAUUUUAGGAUGGGUUUUAUCUUCCUUUCUUUUUUAUUUUUUUUAUUUUUUUUUUUGAGACAGAAUCUUGCUCUGUCGCCUAGGCUGGAGUGCAGUGGUGCAAUCUCGGCUCACUGCAACCUCUGCCUCCCAGGUUCACGCCAUUCUCCUGCCUCAGCCUCC